rnacentral:rRNA from 1 species
AGAGUUUGAUCAUGGCUCAGGACGAACGCUGGCGGCAUGCCUAAUACAUGCAAGUCGAGCGAACAGAUGAAGUGCUUGCACUUCUGACGUUAGCGGCGAACGGGUGAGUAACACGUAAGGAAUCUACCUGUAAGCGGGGGAUAACAUUCGGAAACGGGUGCUAAUACCGCAUAAUAUCUUCUUCUGCAUGGAAGAAGAUUGAAAGACGGCUCUGCUGUCACUUAUAGAUGACCUUGCGGUGCAUUAGUUAGUUGGUGGGGUAAUGGCCUACCAAGACGAUGAUGCAUAGCCGACCUGAGAGGGUGAUCGGCCACAUUGGGACUGAGACACGGCCCAAACUCCUACGGGAGGCAGCAGUAGGGAAUCUUCCGCAAUGGGCGAAAGCCUGACGGAGCAAUGCCGCGUGAGUGAAGAAGGCCUUCGGGUCGUAAAACUCUGUUAUAAGAGAAGAACAAAUUGUAGAGUAACUGCUACAGUCUUGACGGUAUCUUAUCAGAAAGCCACGGCUAACUACGUGCCAGCAGCCGCGGUAAUACGUAGGUGGCAAGCGUUGUCCGGAUUUAUUGGGCGUAAAGGGAGCGCAGGUGGUUUCUUAAGUCUGAUGUGAAAGCCCACGGCUUAACCGUGGAGGGUCAUUGGAAACUGGGAAACUUGAGUACAGAAGAGGAAUGUGGAACUCCAUGUGUAGCGGUGGAAUGCGUAGAUAUAUGGAAGAACACCAGUGGCGAAGGCGACAUUCUGGUCUGUUACUGACACUGAGGCUCGAAAGCGUGGGGAGCAAACAGGAUUAGAUACCCUGGUAGUCC